ensembl:ncRNA C14A11.14 ncRNA
UAAGUGACAAGCACAGAGCAACCACUCAGCUAUUCUCCUCUUCAUUUAGUUUCUUCCAGUAGUGCCCC